AUAAUCAUUUGCCUUUUAAUUGAAGGCAGGAAUGAAUGGUUUGACAAGAAUAUAGCUGUCUCUUUAUGAUUUGAUAGAAUUUUAUUUUUAGGUGAAAAAGCCUUAAUUUAAUUAAUAGACAAGAAGACCCUAUCGAGCUUAAGAGAAUUUAGUAAAUGGUUGGGGCGACUAAGGAACAUAGAAAGCUUCCUUUAAUUUGGAAUUGAUCCAAAAAUGUUGAUUGAAGGAAUUAUUUACCGUAGGGAUAACAGCAUUAUCUUUUUUGAGAGUUCUUAUCGAAAAAAGGGUUUGUGACCUCSAUGUUGGACCGGAAUGUCCUGAAGAUGCCGAAGUCUUC
rnacentral:rRNA from 1 species